AUUUUGUUAGUUUUGAGAACGUUGAUUUGUGGAAUCAAAAGAGCAUUAAAUUGCACAAAAUU
rnacentral:tRNA from 1 species